GAGGAAAAAAUCCCCGUUGGAGACAAUGAAGGCUUGCGGCGGCCAUCUUGGAUGUUUCCAUGGCAACCGGUGGCAACAUCACCUGGAAAAGACUCCAUUUCAAUUGUUAAUAUGUAUACCUCAAAGUUGUAACCAAUUAAAACUAACAAAUACUU